rnacentral:rRNA from 1 species
CCUACGGGUGGCAGCAGUGAGGAAUAUUGGUCAAUGGCCGUAAGGCUGAACCAGCCAAGUAGCGUGAGGGAAGACGGCCCUAUGGGUUGUAAACCUCUUUUAUGCGGGGAUAAAGGUGUCCACGUGUGGAUGUUUACAGGUACCGCAUGAAUAAGGACCGGCUAAUUCGGUGCCAGCAGCCGCGGUAAUACGGAAGGUCCGGGCGUUAUCGGGAUUUAUUGGGUUAAAUGGGUGCGUAGGGGGACUGUAAAGUCAGCGGGAAAAGCCCGGUGCUAAACCCCGGACAGCCGUUGAAACUGGCUGUCUUGAGAUGUGGAGGGGUAUGCGGAAGGCGCAGUGUAGCGGUGAAAUGCUUAGAUAUUACGCAGAACUCCGAUUGCGAAGGCAGCAUACCGGCGGGGAUCUGACGCUGAGGCACGAAAGCGUGGGUAUCGAACAGGAUUAGAUACCCGAGUAGUC